CCUACGUGAGGCAGCAGUGAGGAAUAUUGGUCAAUGGCCGUAAGGCUGAACCAGCCAAGCCGCGUGAAGGAAGAAGGAUCUAUGGUUUGUAAACUUCUUUUAUAGGGGAAUAAAGGUAUCCACGUGUGGAUAUUUGCAUGUACCCUAUGAAUAAGCAUCGGCUAACUCCGUGCCAGCAGCCGCGGUAAUACGGAGGAUGCGAGCGUUGUCCGGAUUUAUUGGGGUUAAAGGGUGCGUAGGUUGUUUUUUAAGUCAGCGGGGAAAAUUUGUGGCUCAACCAUAAAAUUGCCGUUGAAACUGGAAGACUUGAGUGUGGUUGAGGUAGGCGGAAUGUGUGGUGUAGCGGUGAAAUGCAUAGAUAUCACGCAGAACUCCGAUUGCGAAGGCAGACUACUAGGCCAUAACUGACACUGAAGCACGAAAGCGUGGGGAUCAAACAGGAUUAGAUACCCCAGUAGUC
rnacentral:rRNA from 1 species